rnacentral:tRNA from 1 species
GUAGUUGUGGCUCAGUGGUAGAGCACUUGCCUAGCAUGUGUGAAGCACUGGGUUCAAUUCUCAGCACCAUA